CGACAUGGCAAGACCUACAUGGCCAUGACUUCGGCUGCGCAGGGCAAACGCAAAAUAAACUGCAGCAGCAGAGAGCAGGAAAUGAUUUCAGCACCCAAGCGCAUAAAGCAGGACCCCACAGUAGUAGCAAGCAGACCACUAAGAGUGCGUCGUUUAGCUGGGUCAGAGGAGAACAAGCCCAGAAGAGUUAUGAGGAGUGUUUCUGAGGGGAAUCUCA